rnacentral:rRNA from 1 species
AACGAACGCUGGCGGCAGGCCUAACACAUGCAAGUCGAACGCCCCGCAAGGGGAGUGGCAGACGGGUGAGUAACACGUGGGAACCUUCCCUAUAGUACGGAAUAGCCCAGGGAAACUUGGAGUAAUACCGUAUACGCCCGAAAGGGGAAAGAUUUAUCGCUAUAGGAUGGGCCCGCGUAGGAUUAGCUAGUUGGUGAGGUAAUGGCUCACCAAGGCGACGAUCCUUAGCUGGUUUGAGAGAACGACCAGCCACACUGGGACUGAGACACGGCCCAGACUCCUACGGGAGGCAGCAGUGGGGAAUAUUGGACAAUGGGCGCAAGCCUGAUCCAGCCAUGCCGCGUGAGUGAUGAAGGCCUUAGGGUUGUAAAGCUCUUUUGCCGGGGACGAUAAUGACGGUACCCGGAGAAUAAGUCCCGGCUAACUUCGUGCCAGCCGCCGCGGUAACAC